rnacentral:rRNA from 1 species
GGGGAAUAUUGCACAAUGGGCGAAAGCCUGAUGCAGCAACGCCGCGUGAGUGACGAAGGCCUUCGGGUUGUAAAGCUCUGUCAUCUGGGACGAUAAUGACGGUACCAGAUGAGGAAGCCACGGCUAACUACGUGCCAGCAGCCGCGGUAAUACGUAGGUGGCAAGCGUUGUCCGGAAUUACUGGGCGUAAAGGGUGCGCAGGCGGACAUUUAAGUGAGAUGUGAAAGACCCGGGCUUAACUUGGGCAGUGCAUUUCAAACUGGAUGUCUGGAGUGCAGGAGAGGAGAACGGAAUUCCUAGUGUAGCGGUGAAAUGCGUAGAGAUUAGGAAGAACACCAGUGGCGAAGGCGGUUCUCUGGACUGUAACUGACGCUGAGGCACGAAAGCGUGGGGAGCAAAC